rnacentral:rRNA from 1 species
UACGGAAGGCAGCAGUGGGGAAUAUUGCACAAUGGGCGCAAGCCUGAUGCAGCCAUGCCGCGUGUAUGAAGAAGGCCUUCGGGUUGUAAAGUACUUUCAGUCGUGAGGAAGGUGUUAAGGUUAAUAACCUUAGCAAUUGACGUUAGCGACAGAAGAAGCACCGGCUAACUCCGUGCCAGCAGCCGCGGUAAUACGGAGGGUGCGAGCGUUAAUCGGAAUUACUGGGCGUAAAGGGCACGCAGGCGGUUAAUUAAGUUGGAUGUGAAAUCCCCGGGCUUAACCUGGGAAUGGCAUUCAAGACUGGUUAGCUAGAGUCUUGUAGAGGGGGUAGAAUUCCAUGUGUAGCGGUGAAAUGCGUAGAGAUGUGGAGGAAUACCGGUGGCGAAAGGCGGGCCCCCUGGACGAAAAGAACGUGACGCUCAUGUGCGAAAAGGACGUGGGGAGGCAAAACAAGGAGUUAAGAUAACC